rnacentral:rRNA from 1 species
CCUACGGGGGGCAGCAGUGAGGAAUAUUGGUCAAUGGUGGCAACUCUGAACCAGCCAAGUCGCGUGCAGGAUGACGGCCCUGUGGGUUGUAAACCUCUUUUGUGCGGGGAUAAACUGGGUCACGUGUGGCCUAUUGCGGGUACCGCAUGAAUAAGCACCGGCUAAUUCCGUGCCAGCAGCCGCGGUAAUACGGAAGGUCCGGGCGUUAUCCGGAUUUAUUGGGUUUAAAGGGAGCGCAGGCCGCCCCUUAAGCGUGUUGUGAAAUGCCGGGGCUCAACCGUGGCACGGCAGCGGAAACUGGGAGGCUCGAGUGGGAGGGAGGUAGGCGGAAUUCGCGGUGUAGCGGUGAAAUGCUUAGAUAGCGCGAAGAACUCCGAUUGCGAAGGCAGCAUACCGGCGCGUUACUGACGCUGAGGCACGAAGGUGCGGGUAUCGAACAGGAUUAGAUACCCCUGUAGUC